UACGUAGGGUGCGAGCGUUGUCCGGAAUUAUUGGGCGUAAAGGGCUCGUAGGCGGUUUGUCACGUCAGGAGUGAAAACUCGGGGCUCAACCCCGAGCCUGCUUCUGAUACGGGCAGACUAGAGGUAUGCAGGGGUGAAUGGAAUUCCUGGUGUAGCGGUGAAAUGCGCAGAUAUCAGGAGGAACACCGGUGGCGAAGGCGGUUCUCUGGGCAUUACCUGACGCUGAGGAGCGAAAGUGUGGGGAGCGAACAGG
rnacentral:rRNA from 1 species